rnacentral:rRNA from 1 species
GACGAACGCUGGCGGCGUGCCUAAUACAUGCAAGUAGAACGCUGAAGGAGGAGCUUGCUUCUCUGGAUGAGUUGCGAACGGGUGAGUAACGCGUAGGUAACCUGCCUGGUAGCGGGGGAUAACUAUUGGAAACGAUAGCUAAUACCGCAUAAUAGUAGAUGUUGCAUGACAUUUGCUUAAAAGUUGCAAUUGCAUCACUACCAGAUGGACCUGCGUUGUAUUAGCUAGUUGGUGAGGUAACGGCUCACCAAGGCAACGAUACAUAGCCGACCUGAGAGGGGGGUCGGCCAAACUGGGACUGAGACACGGCCCAGACUCCUACGGGAGGCAGCAGUAGGGAAUCUUCGGCAAUGGACGGAAGUCUGACCGAGCAACGCCGCGUGAGUGAAGAAGGUUGUCGGAUCGUAAAGCUCUGUUGUAAGAGAAGAACGAGUGUGAGAGUGGAAAGUUCACACUGUGACGGUAUCUUACCAGAAAGGGACGGCUAACUACGUG